AGGGCGGGGCAGGGGCGGUGCGGCCCCGCUGCCCGCUCCCCCCGCGGGGCCGCCGGCGGCCCGGGGCUCCACCCGCAGCACCCAGAGCUUGUGCGGGGGCCGAGGGACCCGUCUGGAGGGUGACACCCCGCCCUCCGCUCCUCUUCCGCCUCCCUGGGGUUGAGAAGGUGCGCUUGGAAUGGAGGAGGAAAAUCAGCGAAGAUGCUUUGGAAUCUACCCCUGAUGUUGACAUCCUGACUGAAUCUCAGACUCCUGGGCUUCACUGCAGCUGAACAACCCUCACCCCAUACAGACAGGCAGACAGCAAGUGAAGGUAAAGACUUGCUAUGCUGACUCAGAGGAAAGGUUGAACAAGCCUGGGCUCCUGCCUCUGACAGUGGCCAGAGAAUCUUCAAGAAAGUCACAGAAGAAAACAAGCGCUUUUCCCUGAUUCAUCCUCUUCACAAAUCAUUUCAUCCUCUCUCUAACCAGUUCCCUCUGGAGGAAAGACAAUGGAAAAGAGAAAUGCAGCAGCAACCUUUGGCCAUUCAGCUUAUUCCUUCUACACCCAGCAUGGUGUAGGAUCUGCCAUCUGAUCUUCCCCCUAACAGAACAUGUGAAGUGUCAGUAACAACCUCAAAACAGCGCUCCUACCCUACUCAGAUUCCUCAUCAAUCUCACAAUCUGGGGAAUCGGAGGAAAUAGAGAACUGAUCAUCUGCUGACUUCUUCUGUACAUUAUGAAAGUGUCCCUGUGCCAUGUGUGAUUCCAAUCUCCUUUUCCUUUAAUCAGACAGAACAUCAGUGUGUCAGACUGCACCAGCCAGGUCUGUGUGCCGGGCGGGGAAGGACGGAGCCGCUUCUGCGGAGGCGCUCCCAGCUGCCUGGAGGCGACGGCACAUCUCUGGCUUCCCCCUCUCUAACCCUUCCACCUCCCCACCCUGCUCAGCUCAGCCUUGCAAAUGUUCCAUGGCAGGGCAUGUUCUGCCCCUGGCCGAGCCCGCUGGGGCAGCACUGGCUGCGGGGAGCCCUCGAGGAGUGGCAGAACGCGUCUGCCUGGAAGUCUGCGUGUGCCACAGGUGAACCCGUUCCUCACUCUUUGGAGGUCCCCAGGGACCAAAUCACUCCGUAGAAUUGGCCAGAAUUGUAAUGAUUUCCACUCAGGUACCUUGGCAUGGUGGUAGAAAAAGCAUGGGUAGAAGGUUGGGUGGGUUUAUGUGGGUGCAAGGGUGUGUGUGCUCUUUAUACAUUACACUGGAAUGGUUCAUCACAAGCUUUCCAGCACUCUGCAGGGCCUCUGUCAUGAAGAUCAGACUAGGUAGUCCACACUAGGUAAGGACAUUAAAUUUUGGCACUUAUUCCCUAGCUUGUAAGCAUUUUUGGAAGGAAAUGAGAUCUGAAAUAGAAGUGAAGUUCUAUCACCUUCAUCUUUUUUUAGUGUUUUAUUCACUUAGUGUUACAAUUUUUUGCUUUUACCUACCUGUACUCUCAGUACACUACAACCAUUUCAAUACUGAAUUGAAUGGCUAUAAAAGUAACCCAACUCUAUCCAUCCCUCCCUUCCCAUUUGUGCAGGGCAACAUCUGAAGGACACUUUUACCUCCAGAUGUCAGGACAUGUGGGAGAGGGAGCAGACUCAGAGCUUGUGUGUCCUCUGUGGGAUGUAAGCAGAAACAGUACCUAGACAGGAAAGUGUUUGAGUGUUAAUGAUAGGACAGUGCUAAAAGCGCUUUAGAAACACUUCCCUGGUUUUUUGUGGGUUUUUUUGUUUUUUUUUUUUUGCUGGGGAAAUCUCAAUUUGUUGGCUGCCACUGGCUUUUUGCCCAGCAUUCUCAGAUCUGCUGGUGAAGGGAGACGGCAGAGCACGUUUGUUCUAUUCCUCUUCCCCAGAGUGAGAUGCCAGACUGGAGCAGAUAUGUUCCUAAGGACACACUGCAGUGGAGACUAGAGUCUCUUCAACCCUUUCCUACACUUGCCUUGAUAUAUUCAGUAGCCCAGUGCAGGGCUGAGUUGCACCUCACUCACUGGCAGCCCAUGGAAGCAGAGCUAAGUGGUGUGAGAAUCUCCACAAAUCCAUUGGACUGCUCCUAGAGCAGUGGUGUUUGUCUCCCUGUCCCUAGGACACACUCACAGCUCCAGGCAUGCACUACCCCUGCAUCACAGCAUUGUCCUGGGUGGACUUCAGCAACGUUCCAGGAACAACUUCUGGUAGAAGGGAUUGGUGUUGGGCACCCCUGGUUAAAAUUUGUCUUUCCACCUUGGUGUGCAUUGUUCCUGCUCCUUUUUUUUUCCAUGGGAGUGGCUGAAUUUCUGUAGCAUGGUAUAUAAAGCAUUUAGGACGAAAA